UACAGAGGGGGCAAGCGUUGUUCGGAAUUACUGGGCGUAAAGGGCGCGUAGGCGGCCUGCUAAGUCGAACGUGAAAUCCCCGGGCUCAACCCGGGAACUGCGUCCGAUACUGGUUGGCUUGAAUCCGGGAGAGGGAUGUGGAAUUCCAGGUGUAGCGGUGAAAUGCGUAGAUAUCUGGAGGAACACCGGUGGCGAAGGCGGCAUCCUGGACCGGUACUGACGCUGAGGAGCGAAAGCGUGGGGAGCAAACAGG
rnacentral:rRNA from 1 species